CUUUGAUGGGGUAUAAAACACUGAAGUCCAGCCUUUGCAGUGUAAGGUAAAACUGGUGAAGUAGUCUUCUACCACAGAAUUGUACAUGAAGCCCACCUGAGAUCAUGCCAACAUAACUCAAAUAAAAAUAAAUAAAUAAAAAGGAGAAGAAGAAGAAGAAGAAAGAAAUGGAGUCAUCUAUAGCAAAUAACAAGUAUUAAUUUUAAUGUUUCUUUUAAUUAUACUUGCCUCUUGACCCCAUUUUGUGCCAUUUUCAUAGCCACAAGAAGUUAACACUUGGGUUUCUUUCAUCAAUGCUGCAGAGUCGCCAGCAAUGGUGUUCUUGCUUGGCUUCUCCUUUUGCCCAAGGUAUUUGAUGAAUUCAUUCGAAUGGCCAAAGAGUUUCUUUAAAUCCAUGAGAUCAUAACCUGUUAGAUCGACAGGAAACGAGCUAAUUAAUUCAUUACUGCAUUUACUUUUUCUACCCUACUUUCUUGAAAACAAAAAAGUCAUAAGGAUCGAUCUACUUGCCUUCUUGCACGGGUUUACGAUACAAGGACUCUCUCUUGAUGUAAAAGCAAGUCCCAGAUAAAACAGGUCCCUUCAAUCCAUCCAUUCCAUACCAACAUGUCUGAAACAGAGCAAAAAUCAUUAGCUAACAAAAGAAAAGUUGCACUCUAAAAAACUUCAUAUGAUUCUUUUUGUUUACCCAAAAGUACGGUCUGAGCUUGCUAUCGUAGAUGUCGUUCUCACUAAUAUUAUGAAACAUUUGAGGAAAUUGAACCAGCAUUAACGAUGGAGAUAAUCUCGGAUCCAAAUGAAAACACAUCGCCUGCCGAGCCGAAGAAGGGUCGUUGCAGUACAUGUCGCAAUCCAACACUAAAAUGUAAGGCGAGUUGCUCAUCACUCCUGAUACCCGGAGCUGCACGGACGAGCAACGGCGAAUUAUUAUCGGCUGUACAUAGAUAGAAGAAUAUAGAUAUGUUUGUUUCCGAUUUGAAAAUUAAAAUGGCGUACAAGAACGUUGAGAGCUCCAGCUUUGAAGUGAUGGUGAUGAGAAGGUCUCUUUUCUCUUGAGACGUAUAUAAGCUUAGGCAUGGGGUCUUGGUGUGCUUGCAUAACUUCAUCAGGGACAUUCCCUCGGACCACCUGUCGCAUCCGUUUAUUUUUGUCAUACACAUUGAGAGGUAUGUUACUCUUAGCUCACUUAAUUAAAUCUGUAGAAAUUACAAAUUCCCAUUUUAAAUUUAGAAUAACCUCGAUGGUAGGCGGAUGGUCUCGGCCAGUGUGGCUCGAGUCACCUCGGUGCCUCUUUCGGUACUCAUUUACUCGUUCUUUGAACAACUCAUAUUUCUCCUGAAAGAAGAAAAAUAGUUAGAUCUAAUAUUUAACCAGUGUGCAGGGCACAAUUCUUAGUUUUUCAUGCCCAUCCCUUCCAUUGCAUUCCUCCAUCGCAAACUAUAGUAAGCUGUAAUCUAAAUCUGUAAAACAAACUAUGAUUGAUGCGGGUGCUGCUAAUCUUUAAAAUAUAGAAGGCAUCACACUUUGAGAGUUCAAAUCGUCGGGAGUAAAUAGUCGCGCCGAUCACGUUGCACCAUUCUUCGACAUGAAUUGAAUAAGCAAUCACUUCUCUCAAAACUUUAAGUUUUUUUUAACAUGAAGACUUAUAUCAGGACGAUGGCACGUAAGUGAGACAACUCAAUGCAUAGUAAAAUGAUCUCUUUAAGCCAUCAAACGACGGGGCGUGUUUAAUAUUUAAAUAUAGCAGGACAUUAUCUUAUAGACAAAAUGGAAGUGCAGGCGUAUGGACAAAAGGAUAAGAUCAUCGAAAGGUAAAGCGUACCUUGACUAUCUUCUUCUCAGAGCCAAACUCAUUCUCAGAACUCAUGCCAAUCCCCUCACCAUCCUCUUCCUCCUUAAAAAAUGCCUUCGGACACCUCGUCUUUAUCCCAUACCUCUUGCAGAAGGGCAGCCACCAUCUUGCGAAAUCGUAGGCCUCCCUCGUCCCAUGCAAGGUCAGUGUCGAGCCGCCGUCGUCCGAGAGGUACACAUGGAGCUUCUCCGGGGGAUAGUCAAGCGCCAUUGCCGACACCACCGUGUUCAUCACGUCAUCAGUUGGCUCCUUAUCUGGGUCCGCCGUGCACACAAACACAUCGAUGGGUGGAAGUUCCUUGUCCUCCGGCAGCCGCUCAGGGUAGGCAGUCCGUCUCACGGGCUGCCACCGGAAGGCUUGGCUGAGCAGCCACAGGAAAGAUAGCCCUAGCUCGGCAAGGAACAUGGUGAGACAUGCCAAAGUUGUGGCUCUGUCUCUCGAUUUACUUUCACUGAGGAAAAACGAAGCUCUAUAGUAUAUGAGAGCGGAUAGAGCUGUGGCGUGAACGAGCAUGUGGGUGCGGUUGAUGAUUAUUGAUUUUGUGAGGACAUGACAGAGAUUGAGAGGGCCUGAGCUAUGCUCCAUAUGACAGGAUCGGUUCUUGCUAUUCUCCUAUUCUUCUGAUAUGAAUAGGAAGUUCUCCAAGAUUUUAGCACAUAGGGUUAUAAGUACCCCCAUAUUUAUAUAUCAACCUAUGAGUAUUUAUAUUGAAUGAAUUAGUCUAUAUUAGUAGGUUUGACAAAGUUAGGUGGGGAGAAUUACCAAAAAAAGUUAUAAAUCUAUUGUAAUUUUUCAAAUUCAAUCAUAACUUCUUCUUUUUUGCUAGUUUUAAUCCUAAACAUUUUGCAAUUAUGUCAUUUCAAUCUCUCAAGUAAAUUUUGACCAGUUGGUGUAGACAUGGACGUUGGCUGGCACAGACGUGAAUGCCUAAUGACGCUAACAUGCACAAUUUUUAGUAAUAUUUUAUUUUAUUUACUUUUUUUUUCCUUUUUCUCUUUCACUUUCUCUUCUUCCUUCUUUUUCCCUUUUUGGCAAGGGCCACAAAGCCCUUGCUAGCUGCCAACAAUGUCUACAUUAUAUCAAGAGUAUGAGUUUAAGGGUCUGUUUGGCAACUUACCAAAUAGUGAAAAUUUCUAUUAUUUUGUUUCUGGGAAUAGAUUUGGAAUAAAAAUACAUUUGGUAAAUUUUUUGUUUUUGGGAAUAGAUUUGGAAUAGAAUCGAAAAGUAAAAAAAAAGUUGAGUCUUUGUUCCUGGAGACAAUUCCAAAAUCAAGCCAACUUAUUUUUUCUAUUUUCUCUUCUUUCUUCUUGUUCUUCUUCCCUCUCUCUUCUUCUUCAACUGUUGUCGCUGCUGCCACCGCCAUCACCGUCGCCGCUCAUAGCCACUAGUCAUCGACAACCAGUCUGACGAGAUUUGGCGAGCUUGCCCAAUCACUAGUGAGGCCGAGUGUUGCCGGUGGCUAGGUGUGCCUCACCCAAGCCUCCCUCAACCAUUGGCAAGGCUCACCUAGCCCCGACAAGGCUCAGCCGACGAGGCACAGCCUUGCCGAGGGCCAGUGACGCUCCGAUGGGGUCGCUAGCCCUUGUCUGGCUGAUCACCGGUCAUCCCAAAGCUGAUGACCAGCAACCUUGAAAAGGAAGAAGAGGAGAAAGAAAGGAAAAAAAAGAAAAUAUUAAAAAAGAAAUAAAGGAAAAAAUAUUAUAAUUAUUUAAAAAUUAAAAUAAAAUUAUUUGAAGUAAAAUUUUAAAGUAUGGUGCCAAAUGCAAUUCUAUUCCCAAAACUAAAAUUUUAAACAAUUACCAAAUGGUUUAAAAUGUUUAAAAAUUAUUCCCGAAAUCAAAAUAAAUAAAAAAUCAUUUAUGAUAGAAAUNNNNNNNNNNNNNNNNNNNNNNNNNNNNNNNNNNNNNNNNNNNNNNNNNNNNNNNNNNNNNNNNNNNNNNNNNNNNNNNNNNNNNNNNNNNNNNNNNNNNAUUUGCAUUUCAUUUUAUAAUUUAUUUCUUACUCGAAUUGCAUCGUUUGUUUGCACUUCCACAUUAGUCCUAAGAGAUAACAAACUAAACUAUUUGCCUCCUCAAACUCCCUUAGUCAUAUAGUCAAAAGUAAUCCAUGCCAUUUAGAACGAUUAAGCAUGGAAUGCUUUGCCACUUUGCUGUCAACUAGCACAUUCCACUUUGAGCUUCGGCAGGCCUACGCAAAGCAAAGACAUCCCGUUGACUCCUCCGACGCAACAUUGCAAAGUUCACAUGUUGCAUCAACAAUCAACACGAGGACUCCGCUGUGCUAUUCUAUCUUUUGAGCUACAAGCCCAGCAAUCGUAAAUCAAUUCGUUGAACAACUCAUCUUGUCGCAAUUGUCACAUAAGUCAAUAUAAAGCUUACACAAUUUUAGUACUCCAUAAUCCAGCGUCACUUCUGAAUAUUUUCUACAGAACGUACAACAAUUGUGAUAAUUGAGGACUUGGUUUGCAAUGACUCAUAACUUCAUAAGCAUAACGUUCAUUAUUACAUGAGAAAACUUGAACCUAGCAACAACAAUACCAAGGAAAGAAAAGCUGACAGUAUGGUGACUGAUCGUGGAAUGCGUCCUUUGUCCGUCCUCAAUACCAUUGCUUCAAUCACGGGGUAGCUCAUCACUAAGACGAAAAAUGAUAGUGCAAUCUGCAUGAACAGUUUGUCGAAGCCUCCCAAAGUAAGAACUCUAGCGACUCCUCCAAUGAAGGAAGCCAUGUUCAAUAUCACUAGAGUCACCAUCGGAGCCAGAAACAUUAUUGACGUUUGAAAAUCAAAUAUCCCCAUCUCAUAUCUCUUCGAUUGCUCAUCAUCGUCGACCUUAUUUGUAGGCAAGAAGCUAGCUCUUCUCAUGCCGAUUUGUGUCAUAAUCGCGUCUAUGGUUCCGUAUACAUAACACGUCGUUGACUUGAUCAUCCAGAUUCGUUGUUCAUUCAAGAAUGUUUGGACUGAAUGGCCACUUGCGACGACUUCAUAGAGAUGCUUACAAAGGGAUGAUAGGAAGAUGAAGGCAAAUAGCAUGAUAUAUGAACUUGAAACCUGACAAUGAAGAAAUCAUUGAUUAACUCUUUCAAACAAAUAAAUUGAGAAACAAAAUUGAAGCAUAUUUUAUUUUAUUUUUUUGGUAAAGAAAUUGAAGCAUAUUUUAUACGCUGAAGGCAAUGAGAAUUUUAUGUUCUAGAGCUAGGAGUCAACUUACCUCAGGGUAUAUAGAGAUGCCAUUUACUAGACAGGUCUGAGGAAUGGUUGCAAAGCAGCAAAUUGGCAAGCAGUAUAAGGGUAAAAGUGAAACUUCAGCAUAGCACAUGCUCUGAAGAUUGGGCAUCCUCAACGAGCCAUAGAUCAGAGGACAAAAUCUCGAGAUACCAACUCGUGACAGCCCAGAAUACCAUCUCAUGCCUUGAAUCAACAUGUCAUUCAAAUUCGUUGUCGCGGUCCCUAAGAAUUGCGGCUUUGAUGGGGUAUAAAACACUGAAGUCCAGCCUUUGCAGUGUAAGGUAAAACUGGUGAAGUAGUCUUCUACCACAGAAUUGUACAUGAAGCCCACCUGAGAUCAUGCCAACAUAACUCAAAUAAAAAUAAAUAAAUAAAAAGGAGAAGAAGAAGAAGAAAGAAAUGGAGUCAUCUAUAGCAAAUAACAAGUAUUAAUUUUAAUGUUUCUUUUAAUUAUACUUGCC
rnacentral:lncRNA from 1 species